AAAUCAACCGAGAUUCCCCCAGUAGCGGCGAGCGAACGGGGAGCAGCCCAGAGUCAGCAUCAAUAUUUACCGCAGGAGAAGGGUCUGGAAAGGCCGGCAAUAAGGGGUGAUAGCCCCGUAUCUGAAGCGGUAAGUGUUGUGAACUCAAAGAGUAGGGCGGGACGCGUGUUAUCCUGUCUGAAUAUGGGGGGACCAUCCUCCAAGGCUAAAUACUCCUGACUGACCGAUAGUGAACCAGUACCGUGAGGGAAAGGCGAAAAGAACCCCGGCGAGGGGAGUGAAAUAGAACCUGAAACCGUGUACGUACAAGCAGUGGGAGCACCCGAAAGGGUGUAACUGCGUACCUUUUGUNUAAUGGGUCAGCGACUUAUAUUCUGUAGCAAGGUUAACCGCGUANGGGAGCCGUANGGAAACCGAGUCUUAACUGGGCGUU
rnacentral:rRNA from 1 species